GAUGAACGCUGGCGGCGUGCCUAAUACAUGCAAGUCGAGCGAACGGACGAGAAGCUUGCUUCUCUGAUGUUAGCGGCGGACGGGUGAGUAACACGUGGAUAACCUACCUAUAAGACUGGGAUAACUUCGGGAAACCGGAGCUAAUACCGGAUAAUAUUUUGAACCGCAUGGUUCAAAAGUGAAAGACGGUCUUGCUGUCACUUAUAGAUGGAUCCGCGCUGCAUUAGCUAGUUGGUAAGGUAACGGCUUACCAAGGCAACGAUGCAUAGCCGACCUGAGAGCGUGAUCGCCCACACUGGAACUGAGACACGGUCCAGACUCCGACGGGAGGCAGCAGUAGGGAAUCUUCCGCAAUGGGCGAAAGCCUGACGGAGCAACGCCGCGUGAGUGAUGAAGGUCUUCGGAUCGUAAAACUCUGUUAUUAGUGAAGAACAUAUGUGUAAGUAACUGUGCACAUCUUGACGGUACCUAAUCAGAAAGCCACGGCUAACUACGUG
rnacentral:rRNA from 1 species